rnacentral:rRNA from 1 species
ACUCCUACGGGAGGCAGCAGUGGGGAAUCUUGCACAAUGGGCGAAAGCCUGAUGCAGCAACGCCGCGUGCGGGAAGACGGCCCUAGGUUGUAAACCGCUUUCAGGAGGGAAGAAAAUGACGGUACCUCCCAGAAGAAGGUGCGGCCAACUACGUGCCAGCAGCCGCGGUGACACGUAGGCACCAAGCGUUAUCCGGAUUUAUUGGGGCGUAAAGAGCUCGUAGGCGGUUCGGUAAGUCGGGUGUGAAAUCCAAGGCUCAACCUUGGGACGCCACCCGAUACUGCUGUGACUCGAGUGCAGUAGGGGAGCAGGGAAUUCCUGGUGUAGCGGUGAAAUGCGCAGAUAUCAGGAGGAACACCAGUGGCGAAGGCGCUGCUCUGGGCUGUAACUGACGCUGAGGAGCGAAAGCAUGGGGUAGCAAACAGGAUUAGAUACCCCUGGUAGGAUAGCG